rnacentral:rRNA from 1 species
UCGAGAAUUUUUCUCAAUGGGGGCAACCCUGAAGGAGCGACGCCGCGUGGAGGAUGAAGGUUUUCGGAUUGUAAACUCCUGUCAUUGGUGAACAAGACUGUCGUUUAACUGACGAACAGUUUGCUAGUAGCCGAAGAGGAAGGGACGGCUAACUCUGUGCCAGCAGCCGCGGUAAUACAGAGGUCCCGAGCGUUGUUCGGAUUCAUUGGGCGUAAAGGGUGCGUAGGCGGCGUGGUAAGUCUGAUGUGAAAUCCCGGGGCUCAACCCCGGAACUGCAUUGGAUACUGCCAUGCUAGAGUACUGGAGAGGAAACUGGAAUUUACGGUGUAGCAGUGAAAUGCGUAGAGAUCGUAAGGAAGACCAGUGGCGAAGGCGAGUUUCUGGACAGUAACUGACGCUGAGGCACGAAGGCCAGGGGAGCAAACGGGAUUAGAUACCCCUGUAGUCC